rnacentral:rRNA from 1 species
CCUACGGGUGGCUGCAGUGGGGAAUAUUGCACAAUGGGCGCAAGCCUGAUGCAGCCAUGCCGCGUGUGUGAAGAAGGCCUUCGGGUUGUAAAGCACUUUCAGCGGGGAGGAAGGCGGUGAGGUUAAUAACCUCAUCGAUUGACGUUACCCGCAGAAGAAGCACCGGCUAACUCCGUGCCAGCAGCCGCGGUAAUACGGAGGGUGCAAGCGUUAAUCGGAAUUACUGGGCGUAAAGCGCACGCAGGCGGUCUGUCAAGUCGGAUGUGAAAUCCCCGGGCUCAACCUGGGAACUGCAUUCGAAACUGGCAGGCUAGAGUCUUGUAGAGGGGGGUAGAAUUCCAGGGGUAGCGGUGAAAUGCGUAGAGAUCUGGAGGAAUACCGGUGGCGAAGGCGGCCCCCUGGACAAAGACUGACGCUCAGGUGCGAAAGCGUGGGGAGCAAACAGGAUUAGAUACCCCGGUAGUC